rnacentral:rRNA from 1 species
AUGGACAAGGAGAGGUUCAGGAGAAGAAGGUUGAUGCUUAUAAAGGCCGCUGGAUCCGUGGCUUCAUGUAUGGUCAUGCUGUAUGUCCGGCCGAGAUUACAGAGAAAGAAAGAGAGUAUUUCCUAUGGCCCAAUCGAGACAAGGGACAAGAAAAGGAUUGCCUUUCUAAAUAACCAGAUUUACAAGGAUGAUAUAACUUGCCAGACAACGCUAAGGCUCACGAGGGCUUCUUUCUUCGGGCUGUGUCAAGUUCUGAGGGAACGCUCUUUGCUCCGUGAUACUGUUCAUAUAUGUAUUGAGGAGCAAGUCGCCAUGUUCUUGAUCACAGUAGGACACAACCUUCGGAAUAGGGUUGUAAGUGCUAUUUUUAAUAGGUCAGGUGAACCGGUUAGUCGUUAUUUUGGACUAGUCCUCCAUGCUAUAGUUCAGCUAAGGGAUGAGUUUAUUAGGCCACCAUCAUUGGAGACCCCAACCAGAAUUGCUGGUGACCCAAGAUGGGACCCAUACUUCAAGGAUUGUAUUGGAGCCAUUGAUUGUACACAGAUACAGGCUUCUUCCUGUAAGAACGUGGAGACUGCCUUCCGUGGUAAGAAGUUAGUUGCAAGCCAAAAUGUGAUGGCAGCAAUUGAUUUUGACCUUCGUUUCACACAUGUGCUGGCUCGUUGGGAGGGAUCUGCACACGAUAAUGCUGUUUUAGUGGAUGCAAUAGAGUGUGAGAACGGCUUAUGUGCUCCUCAAGGUAAAUUCUACCUAGUGGAUGCCGGAUAUGGAGCCAAACCUGGAUUUUUGCCACCUUUCCACGGCAUGAGAUAUCACUUGACUGAGUGGGGGAACAAUCAUGUGCGAGAUGCAAGGGAAUUGUUCAAUCUUAGGCACUCAUCUCUACGAGUACCUGUAGAACGUGCAUUCGCAUCACUCAAGCGAAGAUUUAAAGUUCUUGAUGAUGCAAAUCCAUUCUUUCCCUCCGCUACUCAAGUGGAUGUUGUGAUAGCUUGCGUCAUCCUCCACAACUGGGUUCUUUCCCAAGGCACUGAUUGUUUCAUUAUACCGGAGAUUAAUUGGAAACCAAAACUCCCUAGUCCUCAGAGAGAGCAAGCCCAUGACCAUAGGCACAUGGUUGAGUUCAGACAAGCCCUUGCUGACAAAAUGUGGGAAGACCAUCAAAACUAUCACCGCAAUGAUGCCGACUUCUUGAACACUCCAGCUUACUAUCACGAGAUGGCCACAAUCUUUGGUGAUGGUAUGGCUUCUGAUGUAUACACUAAGAGUGUGGAUGAGCUUCUUGCUGUAGAUGUGACCGAGAAUGAAAUUGCCAAUGGAGGAAAUGACACUUUUGGUGCUAGUGUUGAAGAGUUUACACUGCCUUUUCCUAUUCCCGAAUGGGGGAAGAAUGGUGAUUCCUCUAGCAGUAAAGCAUCGAAAAGGGCCAAGGUAAACAAUGAUGACGAGCUGAUGCAUUUGAUGACCAGCCUUGAUAACCUUGCCGAAGCUAUAGAGAAAUCUGAAUGUGUAGAUACAGAUGUCCCUGAAGAUCUUUGGGGUAACUUGAUGGAUCUCCCUGGAUUUGAAGAGGCGCAUCUUACCCAUUACUAUGCUCAUCUAGUUGAGAAUCCUGCAAUUGCUAGAGCAUUCAAUCAACUUAGCAUGUCCAACAAAAUGACAUGGGUAGCUAGAUAUAUUGAGAACCACCUUUCUGAGUAA